AUUGUCCCUAGAGGUGUUACAGAUGUUGCUGUGUCACAUGUGGAUCAGUAGCUGGCAGAGAGAAGAGAGGCCAUGUAUAUGUUCACUGUUCUGACCUAAGAACAUUUGAAUGGUUAGUAGUCAAAUAGU